ACGUGCUACAAUGGACGGUACAACGAGUCGCAAGACCGCGAGGUUUAGCAAAUCUCUUAAAGCCGUUCUCAGUUCGGAUUGUAGGCUGCAACUCGCCUACAUGAAGUCGGAAUCGCUAGUAAUCGCGGAUCAGCAUGCCGCGGUGAAUACGUUCCCGGGCCUUGUACACACCGCCCGUCACACCAUGAGAGUUUGUAACACCCAAAGCCGGUGGGGUAACCUUUUGGAGCCAGCCGUCUAAGGUGGGACAGAUGAUUAGGGUGAAGUCGUAACAAGGUAGCCGUAGGAGAACCUGCGGCUGGAUCACCUCCUUU
rnacentral:rRNA from 1 species